rnacentral:rRNA from 1 species
UACGUAGGGUGCGAGCGUUGUCCGGAAUUAUUGGGCGUAAAGAGCUCGUAGGCGGCUUGUCGCGUCGACUGUGAAAUCCCGCGGCUCAACCGCGGGUCUGCAGUCGAUACGGGCAGGCUAGAGUUCGGUAGGGGAGACUGGAAUUCCUGGUGUAGCGGUGAAAUGCGCAGAUAUCAGGAGGAACACCGAUGGCGAAGGCGGCCUUCUGGACAGUGACUGACGCUGAGAUGCGAAAGCGUGGGGAGCAAACAGG